UUUCCGUUCUGUUGAACCAGGAAGUUAAAGAACUUUAUCCGCUUCUUCUCCUCACAGUGAUGAGAGUAAAAUAGAUCGUUUGUGACGAGAAGUGAUUAAGUCAUUUCGAUAUUUGUGAAUCGUAUAAGUUGUUGCAGUUAUUGAAUUAGUUGUCUCAGUAUAUUUAUUGUCUGCGUCUGAUUCAUUUAUUUCUCUCUUCAUUGACAUCAUGGGACGUUCCCCUUUAGCUGUCAGUCCCUUUACAAAGUGACGCGUGGAAUUAAAGAUGGAGAGGCUCCCGGAGAUUUCCCACUUGUUCCGGCCUCACAUACACCCGCCUUUUAUCUACGGCUUUGUGUUACUAAACAAAGAGAAUUUAUAAUAAUGUCGAAAGAAACAAAAGCGUAAACAUGUGGUGAUUAUGUUGAGCCCACUGAGCACCAGCUUAUAGUUACACUACGUCUGAGUCGCAGGGAAUAAGCUGAGUUUUCAUUGAGACAGACGUGAGACAGACGUGAGAGACAGACGUGAGACAGACGCCAGUGAGAACUGUUGGGAGGUCUGUGCAUGGCUGUUUUAUUGAACAUACAGAAGCUGCUGUAGAAUUGUUCGUUGGAUUUAUUGUCGUGUACAAUAGUCUGGUUGUAGGAAGCCCUGGUAACAAUCGUCAUGAGGAUGAAACGUCUGAAGAGAAUGAUUUCUGGGUAACAUGACAACACAAUUUAGGAAGAACAUUUGGAUAGAGGUGAUUUCUUUAUUGUUGAUCCGAUAGCGGAAGGAGAGACAAAGCAGAAAUCUCUUUCAUCCAAUAAAAGGAUCACCAAAGACUUGUACAAAAGGAGGGUCUCUGGUGUGAUUGUUGUAGGGAUGAAAUAUAAUCCAGGAUUGGGUUUGGGGGUCAGCCAGGAUUUGGCCUUUCAGCAGGAUUCUGAUUCGACUGAACAAUUAGAGAUGCAACGUAUCCACUAUUUUGGAUUUGGCCGAACCCCCCGAAUCCUUCGCAAAAGAUUAGGCCGAAUCAGAAUCCUAAUUUGCAUAUGUGGGCGGGUACGAAACCACAUGACUGUCACAAAACAAGGGAAGUAGCAGCAAUAGGCUAUUUAGACAAUUAGAUGUCAACACAAUGUAGUUGGUUAUUUAUUAACAGGAAACUGUGAUACAAAUACUAAUUGGAACAUUGUGUUUUGUUCAAUUCUUUAUCAAUGGAAUCCACAGGCACAAGGGGAAGACAAUGACAGGGGCCGUUUGUUAAUAUUAACCGUGUACAUUAUGAAGAAGAAAACUGAAGGCUAAAUAUCUCAAACACUGAAAUCUGUUUAAUUCUUGUAUGGAAAAUAGAUUCUCAUAAUAACUGGAGGAGCACUGAUCUCUCAGCCCAGUAAGGACUAAUUCAACUUUAAUAUUGUUUGUAUUUUGUACCGACUAAAACAUCCCCUUUAUACA